GAAAAGAAAUUUGCCUGGAGAGGGGUCGGGUCCAAUUGGCUUGUUGGUGAGGUAAGCCCUUACCAAGGCUACCAUCGGUAGCUGGCUUGAGAGGAUGAGCAGCCACACUGGGACUGAGACACGGCCCAGACUCCUACGGGAGGCAGCCGUGGGGAAUUUUCCGCAAUGGCCGAAAUUCUCCGGAUCACCGCGGCUGCGGGCACGAAGGCCGCCGGGGCUGAAACCCCUUUUCCCGGGGGAGCAGCUUGAAGGAGACAAGAAGUAUCCGACCCGGAGGCCUCCUUCCCCACCGCGGCGGUAAUCCGGAGGAGGGAAGCCUUUUGCGGAAAUUUUCGGACUAAAGCCUUCGGAGGCGGUCUUUCCAGUUUUUUGUUAAAAGCCUGGCUUCACAUUCGGAAAGGCCAGCGAAACUUAAAAGCCUGGGUCGGUUGGGCCCGAGGGAAUUCCCAGUGUAGCGCUAGAACCUCUGAUUUUGGGAAGUACCCCGGUGCCGACAUAC
rnacentral:rRNA from 1 species